AAUUACCAACCUUUACAAGCUGAUCAAAGUGUGUGACUAGGGUGGUUGAAAUAUCCAUUAUUUCAUUUAAAUUGCAGUACAACAUAUCCAUCCAGGGUGUAAGGCAAAGCAGAUUAGAAAACUCUUUUAGCCCUGUUCGUUCUUCUGGGGACCCAUGAGCCGACCAGAAGGGAGGAUACCUAUACUUGCCCCGAUGCAGCAUUUUAACUGAAUCCAAAGAUGAAUUCAAGUGCUUUAUUUUCAGAGUUUGGUUGAAGUGUUUGGUUUUUGGUCUUCAGUAAUAGAAGUUUAUGACCAACUGGAAAAAUUAUGGCUUAGUGCUGGAGAGGUUUUUGGGGAUUUUCUACGCGACUUUUUAUAUUUUUGGCCUCUCAACCCUCAGGAUCAAUCCCCUUUGUGCAGGAAUGUAAAUUUAACAGAUGUGCCUUUCUAUCCCAACCAGGUGUGUUGCACACUUAUGAGGGAAAAGGAGAGACCAGGUGAUCGAUCCAGAUGGCAGAAACUUUUAUUUGGUCACAGAUUAUCGGGACUUUUCAAAUGUGCGAAAGUGCUGAACUAACUUCACAUUAAUAGUUGUUUUGGUCAUGCUUUGAUGUGGUGUUUUUCACAUUGAUAUAUUCUUUACUAAUGCAGGAAGAGUCAAAUAAAAUAAUUGAGGUUAAGUUUGAAUAUUUGUAGGAGGGUUGGAGCUUAUGGGAGAAAUUAAAUGGAUGAUGGUGCAAAAGUGAUUUUGAUUGUGUGGAAAAGCUUUCUGAACUUUGUCACUGGCAUUCUUGUAUUUCAUUGCAAAAAUUUAAAAUUGGUUUAAUGUAAUUGAGUAGAUCAGUAAUUUGAAAUGACAAAAAUCUGUAGAGUAUUGUCGAGUAAUGUAGACACAUGUUCGCUUUAUUUUUUUUUUCUUCCUUUCUAGAUGUACAAUUGGAUGCCAAAAUAUAAGCCAUAAUUUUCCUAUAUAAAUCCUUGGCGGUGACAAUUCAUUUUUUUAUAUAUCAUGAGGGAGACAUUAUUUCUGUUAUCCGCCUGUUCGGGUCUUGGGAACAGCAUCCUAACAAACAUGGACGUAAUAUUCACUUUAGAAGUGGGGGGG
rnacentral:lncRNA from 1 species